UGAGUAACACGUAGGUAACCUGCCCAGAAGCGGGGGACAACAUUUGGAAACAGAUGCUAAUACCGCAUAACAGCGUUGUUCGCAUGAACAACGCUUAAAAGAUGGCUUCUCGCUAUCACUUCUGGAUGGACCUGCGGUGCAUUAGCUUGUUGGUGGGGUAACGGCCUACCAAGGCGAUGAUGCAUAGCCGAGUUGAGAGACUGAUCGGCCACAAUGGGACUGAGACACGGCCCAUACUCCUACGGGAGGCAGCAGUAGGGAAUCUUCCACAAUGGGCGCAAGCCUGAUGGAGCAACACCGCGUGAGUGAAGAAGGGUUUCGGCUCGUAAAGCUCUGUUGUUAAAGAAGAACACGUAUGAGAGUAACUGUUCAUACGUUGACGGUAUUUAACCAGAAAGUCACGGCUAACUACGUGCCAGCAGCCGCGGUAAUACGUAGGUGGCAAGCGUUAUCCGGAUUUAUUGGGCGUAAAGAGAGUGCAGGCGGUUUUCUAAGUCUGAUGUGAAAGCCUUCGGCUUAACCGGAGAAGUGCAUCGGAAACUGGAUAACUUGAGUGCAGAAGAGGGUAGUGGAACUCCAUGUGUAGCGGUGGAAUGCGUAGAUAUAUGGAAGAACACCAGUGGCGAAGGCGGCUACCUGGUCUGCAACUGACGCUGAGACUCGAAAGCAUGGGUAGCGAACAGGAUUAGAUACCCUGGUAGUCCAUGCCGUAAACGAUGAGUGCUAGGUGUUGGAGGGUUUCCGCCCUUCAGUGCCGGAGCUAACGCAUUAAGCACUCCGCCUGGGGAGUACGACCGCAAGGUUGAAACUCAAAGGAAUUGACGGGGGCCCGCACAAGCGGUGGAGCAUGUGGUUUAAUUCGAAGCUACGCGAAGAACCUUACCAGGUCUUGACAUCUUGCGCCAACCCUAGAGAUAGGGCGUUUCCUUCGGGAACGCAAUGACAGGUGGUGCAUGGUCGUCGUCAGCUCGUGUCGUGAGAUGUUGGGUUAAGUCCCGCAACGAGCGCAACCCUUGUUACUAGUUGCCAGCAUUAAGUUGGGCACUCUAGUGAGACUGCCGGUGACAAACCGGAGGAAGGUGGGGACGACGUCAGAUCAUCAUGCCCCUUAUGACCUGGGCUACACACGUGCUACAAUGGACGGUACAACGAGUCGCGAACUCGCGAGGGCAAGCAAAUCUCUUAAAACCGUUCUCAGUUCGGACUGCAGGCUGCAACUCGCCUGCACGAAGUCGGAAUCGCUAGUAAUCGCGGAUCAGCAUGCCGCGGUGAAUACGUUCCCGGGCCUUGUACACACCGCCCGUCACACCAUGAGAGUUUGUAACACCCAAAG
rnacentral:rRNA from 2 species